rnacentral:rRNA from 1 species
GAUGAACGCUGGCGGCGUGCCUAAUACAUGCAAGUCGAGCGAACAGACGAGGAGCUUGCUCCUCUGACGUUAGCGGCGGACGGGUGAGUAACACGUGGAUAACCUACCUAUAAGACUGGGAUAACUUCGGGAAACCGGAGCUAAUACCGGAUAAUAUAUUGAACCGCAUGGUUCAAUAGUGAAAGACGGUUUUGCUGUCACUUAUAGAUGGAUCCGCGCCGCAUUAGCUAGUUGGUAAGGUAACGGCUUACCAAGGCAGCGAUGCGUAGCCGACCUGAGAGGGUGAUCGGCCACACUGGAACUGAGACACGGUCCAGACUCCUACGGGAGGCAGCAGUAGGGAAUCUUCCGCAAAGGGCGAAAGCCUGACGGAGCAACGCCGCGUGAGUGAUGAAGGUCUUCGGAUCGUAAAACUCUGUUAUUAGGGAAGAACAAAUGUGUAAGUAACUAUGCACGUCUUGACGGUACCUAAUCAGAAAGCCACGGCUAACUACGUG